GGGUGUAGGGUGUGAUUUGAAACACAGUCUCUGAGCAUCGACUCUGAACGCCGAUAUAUAGCAGCAGGCUACUUUCUCGAAAAUGACAAAUAUUACCCAGAAUGCACUAUUUUAAUGGAAAACAGCAUGUUAGUGUAAAAAUUUGGCCGAUUUUUAACAGUGUAUUUUAGUACUUCGACUUAAACUAUACGUUUAUGUUUUUUGUUUUACUUUAUUUCAGUUAAAUGUUUGUUUUAUUUCAAGUAACAAAAAUGUUUUGUUUUUAAUGGUUUAAGUUUAGUUCAGUUUAAUAACCUUGACACUGACCCAUGUCUGCUUUGAUUUUUAAAGAUGCUGGGAAUUGGAAAGGAGAACUGGAGUAGAUCUGAUGAACUCUGCUCGACUGUUAUUUUAACUCCUCUGAUGGCAGCUCUUCAUGGACUGAAUUAUUCAGCGCUCAGCGUUAUCUGACGCCCUACAGAUUUGAAUCCUGCUGCGUUGGACUCAUGGUCACUGGUGUGCAUUGUGAAUCACAGAAGAUUGUAUGAGACGACAUCCAUGAAGCCGUACAUCCCAUAACAGAUCUGGAAGAGCAGGUCUUGCCGUUGCCACUUGGCCGAAGGGCUGAGAGACGACCACACCAGCCACGAGAUACUGGCGAUGAGGAAGAGCGAACCCAAGAUCGCCGCCGCUAUCUGGACCUUCUCUAUGACGAAAGUGCCGAGUGCAGUAAUCCAUACGGAGAUAUCCAUAUCAGACCUACUUUCCAGAUUAAUGAUGUUAACUGAUGGACUGGAGUGGUGUGGAUUAUUGUGAUGUUUUCAUCAGCUGUUUGGACUCUCAUUCUGACGGCACCCAUUCACUGCAGAGCAUCCAUUGGUGAACAAGUGAUGCGAUGCUACAUUUCUCCAAAUCUGUUCCCAUGAAGAACAAACUCAUGUAUAUCUUGGAUGACCAGGGCUAAACUCUUCCCUGGCUUCCUCAUAAAUCUCUUCGUCUGCUAAAAUGACAGUACAGAUGCUCAAGCUGAGGCUCUCUGGGGUCUACAAAGCUGAGGUGAAACAGCAGAGAAGCUUCACUACUUGAUCACUAGAUAAAAGCAAUUUUCUGGGUUCAACACAAGUUCUCAUAUUUAAAAAAAAAGCAAAACUCACCGGUACAGUAAUGCACAAAGCCAGUUUUCCAGAGGGUUUAAAAAAGCAGAAAUGUAAAGCUUGUGUUUUGUUAUUUUGUACAUCAAUUAUUUAGUAAAGACUUGUAUUUAUUUUGACAUAUAAAGUGUCUGCAUUGUUCUUUCCAAAGUGAGGCUACUUUCUAGAUGCAUGAACCUCUGGUGAGGUGCUGGAAGAUGCUGAAACUACAUCAAAAAAUCAGCAGCAGGUUGCACACUUCUGAGGGAUCAUAUGCCAGCCAAAAAACUACAAAAUAAGAAUGCUAAUGGAUCGCACUCUCCGGAUGUUAACUGAUGGACUGGAGUGCUGUGGAUUAUUGUGAUGUUUUUAUCAGCUGUUUGGACUCUCAUUCUGACGGCACCCAUUCACUGCAGAGCAUCCAUUGCUGAGACACUGAUGCAAUGCUACAUUUCUCCAAAUCUGAUGAAGAAACAAACUCAUCCACAUCUUAGAUGCCUUGACGAGUACAUUUUAAGUAAAUUAGCAUUUUUGG